rnacentral:rRNA from 1 species
AAGGUGAUAUGAACCGUUAUAACCGGCGAUUUCCGAAUGGGGAAACCCAGUGUGAUUCGUCACACUAUCAUUAACUGAAUCCAUAGGUUAAUGAGGCGAACCGGGGGAACUGAAACAUCUAAGUACCCCGAGGAAAAGAAAUCAACCGAGAUUCCCCCAGUAGCGGCGAGCGAACGGGGAGCAGCCCAGAGCCUGAAUCAGUAUGUGUGUUAGUGGAAGCGUCUGGAAAGGCGCGCGAUACAGGGUGACAGCCCCGUACACAAAAAUGCACAUGCUGUGAGCUCGAUGAGUAGGGCGGGACACGUGGUAUCCUGUCUGAAUAUGGGGGGACCAUCCUCCAAGGCUAAAUACUCCUGACUGACCGAUAGUGAACCAGUACCGUGAGGGAAAGGCGAAAAGAACCCCGGCGAGGGGAGUGAAAAAGAACCUGAAACCGUGUACGUACAAGCAGUGGGAGCACGCUUAGGCGUGUGACUGCGUACCUUUUGUAUAAUGGGUCAGCGACUUAUAUUCUGUAGCAAGGUUAACCGAAUAGGGGAGCCGAAGGGAAACCGAGUCUUAACUGGGCGUUAAGUUGCAGGGUAUAGACCCGAAACCCGGUGAUCUAGCCAUGGGCAGGUUGAAGGUUGGGUAACACUAACUGGAGGACCGAACCGACUAAUGUUGAAAAAUUAGCGGAUGACUUGUGGCUGGGGGUGAAAGGCCAAUCAAACCGGGAGAUAGCUGGUUCUCCCCGAAAGCUAUUUAGGUAGCGCCUCGUGAAUUCAUCUCCGGGGGUAGAGCACUGUUUCGGCAAGGGGGUCAUCCCGACUUACCAACCCGAUGCAAACUGCGAAUACCGGAGAAUGUUAUCACGGGAGACACACGGCGGGUGCUAACGUCCGUCGUGAAGAGGGAAACAACCCAGACCGCCAGCUAAGGUCCCAAAGUCAUGGUUAAGUGGGAAACGAUGUGGGAAGGCCCAGACAGCCAGGAUGUUGGCUUAGAAGCAGCCAUCAUUUAAAGAAAGCGUAAUAGCUCACUGGUCGAGUCGGCCUGCGCGGAAGAUGUAACGGGGCUAAACCAUG